rfam:Aedes albopictus isolate Foshan contig74570, whole genome shotgun sequence.
GGCUCGGGAGCUUAGUUGGUAAAGCACUUGUCUAGCGAAUAAGGGUCGUGAGUUCAAAUCUCACCUGAGCUG